rnacentral:rRNA from 1 species
UAAGGGGACCUCGAGUGCUGGGUUACAAACCUGGCUGUUGGGCUGCCUAAAAAGCAGUUUAUAGCAAGGGCCGGGCAAGACCGGUGCCAGCCGCCGCGGUAACACCGGCGGCUCGAGUGGUAACCGCUGUUAUUGGGUCUAAAGGGUCUGUAGCCGGCCGGAUAAGUCUCUUGGGAAAUCCGGCAUCUCAAGUGUCGGGAUGCCAGGGGAUACUGGUCGGCUUGGGACCGGGAGAGGUGAGAGGUACCUCCCGGGUAGGGGUGAAAUCUUGUAAUCCUUGAGGGACCCCCAGUGGCGAAGGCGUCUCACCAGAACGGAUCCGACGGCAAGGGACGAAAGCCAGGGGCACGAACCGGAUUAGAUACCCGGGUAGUCCUAGCCGUAAACGAUACUGGCUAGGUGUCGGGCACGGUGCGACCGUGCCCGGUGCCGUAGGGAAGCCGUGAAGCGCGCCACCUGGGAAGUACGGCCG